rnacentral:lncRNA from 1 species
GAUUUAAGUUGUUUUAAUGUCGUCUGCUAUAGAAAUGGAUGAAGACUUCUGCACGGUACAUUUGGCUUUACAGAUGUUAGUAACUAGUUAGUGCUUGUGCUGUGUGCUGCACGUCACUAUGAUCUGUUGACCAGGAACAGCUCUCGAAACAUGGGUUAAGACCAGAAUUGUGGAUCAUGGAACUUUCACUUAGCACACACACAGUCUACGGCAAACUUAAAUCCUAAUCUCUAAUACCUAACUGGAUUAUUUGAUCCAUUGCAGUAUUGUGCUUGUUUAUCUCAGAAGAUAGGCAACUAGCAAAAAUACACAUUUCUUUUGCACUUCCCCACCCCCAUAUUACACUGUAAAAGUAAUACAUUAUUCAGUGCACUUUCUAAGAAAUAAACUUCCUUAUAGUAUCUCUCUCUAUAUAUAUAUCUAUGCCCUAACAAAAGAAGAGCACAAUGCAACUUGUAAGAUUACCAUUUAAAGCAAGAGAGGUAACAGUACUCUGGGAUUAUAGCCCCCUCUCCUGUUUAGGAAAGUUCCAGUUCAUGUGACAAUGCACGGGAAUAAAAUUUAAUGCAUGAUUGCUCUGGGAAGUUUAAGAUAACCUCUUUAUCACUUGGUAGACAUGCUAGGGCAUUAACAGUAUUUUCAUUUUUUUUCUGAUGCAUUGGCUUUAGUCAAACUGUGCAGACACCAGUGUACUUUGGAGUGAUUUAUCUUGAUUUCCAUC